GCAUAAACCAGUUACAGCAAUUGAUGGAUGCCUUGGCUUCAUCAGGCGACGAAGGACGCAGCAAGCUGCGAUAAGCUUCGGGGAGCGGCACGCACGCUAUAUAUCCGAAGAUUUCCGAAUGGGGAAACCCGGCACCUCUCAUAGGGUGUCACUUCGAUCUGAAUACAUAGGGUCGAUAGAGCAAUACGUGGAGAAGUGAAACAUCUCAGUAUCCACAGGAAAAGAACGAGAAUCGAUUCCGUAAGUAGUGGCGAGCGAAAGCGGAAGAGCCCAAACCGCCGGGAUUUAUCCUGGCGGGGUUAUAGGACCAUAAUGUGAGACCACAGAAGUUAGACGAACACUCUGGAAAGUGUGACCAUAGCGGGUGACAGUCCCGUAGUUUAAAACUCGAGUGGCUCUAUUGGUAUCCUGAGUAGCACCGUACACGUGAAAUUCGGUGUGAAUUCGUGGCGACCACG
rnacentral:ncRNA from 1 species